UCCAGAGGAAGGCUCGUCCGCUCUGGGUUAGUCGGGUCCUAAGCUGAGGCCGACAGGCGUAGGCGAUGGAUAACAGGUUGAUAUUCCUGUACCACCAUUAUUCGUUUUAAGCGAUGGGGGGACGCAGUAGGAUAGGCGAAGCGUGCUGUUGGAGUGCACGUCCAAGCAGUGAGAUUGAGUGUUAGGCAAAUCCGGCACUCUUAAGAUUGAGCUGUGAUGGGGAGAGGAACUUGUUCCUCGAGUCGUUGAUUUCACACUGCCGAGAAAAGCCUCUAGCUAGAAUAACGGUGCCCGUACCGCAAACCGACACAGGUAGUCAAGAUGAGAAUUCUAAGGUGAGCGAGCGAACUCUCGUUAAGGAACUCGGCAAAAUGACCCCGUAACUUCGGGAGAAGGGGUGCUCUUUGAGGUUCACGCUUCGAAGAGCCGCAGUGAAUAGGCCCAAGCGACUGUUUAUCAAAAACACAGGUCUCUGCUAAACCGUAAGGUGACGUAUAGGGGCUGACGCCUGCCCGGUGCUGGAAGGUUAAGAGGAGUGGUUAGCGCAAGCGAAGCUACGAAUCGAAGCCCCAGUAAACGGCGGCCGUAACUAUAACGGUCCUAAGGUAGCGAAAUUCCUUGUCGGGUAAGUUCCGACCCGCACGAAAGGCGUAACGAUUUGGGCACUGUCUCAACGAGAGACUCGGUGAAAUCAUAGUACCGGUGAAGAUGCCGGUUACCCGCGACAGGACGGAAAGACCCCGUGGAGCUUUACUGUAGCCUGAUAUUGAAAUUCGGUACAGUUUGUACAGGAUAGGUAGGAGCCUUAGAAGCGUGAGCGCUAGCUUACGUGGAGGCAUUGGUGGGAUACUACCCUAAUUGUAUUGGAUUUCUAACCCGCAGCACUUAUCGUGCUGGGAGACAGUGUCAGGCGGGCAGUUUGACUGGGGCGGUCGCCUCCUAAAGAGUAACGGAGGCGCUCAAAGGUUCCCUCAGAAUGGUUGGAAAUCAUUCAUAGAGUGUAAAGGCAUAAGGGAGCUUGACUGCGAGACCUACAAGUCGAGCAGGGUCGAAAGACGGACUUAGUGAUCCGGUGGUUCCGCAUGGAAGGGCCAUCGCUCAACGGAUAAAAGCUACCCCGGGGAUAACAGGCUUAUCUCCCCCAAGAGUUCACAUCGACGGGGAGGUUUGGCACCUCGAUGUCGGCUCAUCGCAUCCUGGGGCUGUAGUCGGUCCCAAGGGUUGGGCUGUUCGCCCAUUAAAGCGGUACGCGAGCUGGGUUCAGAACGUCGUGAGACAGUUCGGUCCCUAUCCGUCGUGGGCGUAGGAAAUUUGAGAGGAGCUGUCCUUAGUACGAGAGGACCGGGAUGGACAUACCUCUGGUGUACCAGUUGUCGUGCCAACGGCAUAGCUGGGUAGCUAUGUAUGGACGGGAUAAGUGCUGAAAGCAUCUAAGCAUGAAGCCCCCCUCGAGAUGAGAUUUCCCAACUUCGGUUAUAAG
rnacentral:rRNA from 1 species